AGUGAACGCUGGCGGUAGGCCUAACACAUGCAAGUCGAACGGCAGCACAGUAAGAGCUUGCUCUUACGGGUGGCGAGUGGCGGACGGGUGAGGAAUACAUCGGAAUCUACUUUUUCGUGGGGGAUAACGUAGGGAAACUUACGCUAAUACCGCAUACGACCUACGGGUGAAAGCAGGGGAUCUUCGGACCUUGCGCGAUCGAAUGAGCCGAUGUCGGAUUAGCUAGUUGGCGGGGUAAAGGCCCGCCAAGGCGACGAUCCGUAGCUGGUCUGAGAGGAUGAUCAGCCACACUGGAACUGAGACACGGUCCAGACUCCUACGGGAGGCAGCAGUGGGGAAUAUUGGACAAUGGGCGCAAGCCUGAUCCAGCCAUACCGCGUGGGUGAAGAAGGCCUUCGGGUUGUAAAGCCCUUUUGUUGGGAAAGAAAAGCAGCAGGUUAAUACCCCGCUGUUCUGACGGUACCCAAAGAAUAAGCACCGGCUAACUUCGUG
rnacentral:rRNA from 1 species